rnacentral:rRNA from 1 species
GUGUAUGGCCAUACUACUCUAUACUCGAUCUCAACUGAUCUCAGAAGCUAAAGCAGGGUUGGGCCUGUGAGUUAGUUUAUUGUGCCAAACUGGCUGAUAAACACU